rnacentral:rRNA from 1 species
UACGGAGGUGGCAAGCGUUGUUCGGAAUUAUUGGGUGUAAAGGGUAUUGUAGGUUUUCUAUCAAGUCCUUUUUUAAAUACUUUGGCUCAACCAAAGAUCUGGGGAGGAAACUGAUAGGAUUGAGUACAGGCGAGGAAAGCGGAAUUCCCGGUGUAAGGGUGAAAUCUGUAGAUAUCGGGAGGAACACCAGUGGCGAAAGCGGCUUUCUAGCUGAUACUGACACUGAAAUACGAAAGCUAGGGGAGCAAACAGGAUUAGAUACCCCAGUA